rnacentral:lncRNA from 1 species
CCAAGUUGUUGCAUCAAACAGUUUUGAAACUCUAAGCAGCCUCAGCAACAUUAAUAUCACUCCAGAUCAAUGUCAACAGAUCAUCUCAAUGCUGAGGCCUCAACUCGAAGCUUUCAUGCCUUCACCUGUCACCACUACCACCACUCCAUUUACCACUAGUUCUGUAAACCAUGUUGGGGACCUGCAAGUUACAUCAACUCAAUCUCCAACAAUGCCUUCAGCAUCAUCCUUCUCAGGUAGUAGCCUAGCAUGUUCUGCUUACACAUACACCAAGAGCACUUGGAUAAUCGAUACUGGUGCGACAGACCACAUUGUUUGUUCUGUCCAACAACUUACCACCAUCACAGCUACCAUUAAUGGGAAUGUCAAGUUGCCUAAUGGUCAUGUUGCAGCGGUUACACAUAUAGGGACAGUUCAGCUUUCAAGUGACCUUACUUUGACAAAUGUUCUCUGUGUUCCAUGUUUUACUUUUAAUCUCAUAUCUGCCAGUAAGUUGGUCUCAGUUCACCAUUGUUGUUUGAUCUUCAUAUUUGCUUAUUGUUUCAUUCAGGACCUUUUAUCUUGGAAGACGAUUGGGAUAGGGAAAAUUGAUGGUGGCCUCUACCACUUACAGCUUCAACCAUCUCAACAACAACAUCACACUUCACUGUCCAAUACAUCUGAACCUACUACCAAUACUGCUUACAGUCAUUCCUUCGACCUUUGGCAUAGUAGAUUAGGUCAUGUUCCUAGCUCUAGAAUCUCUAUUAUCAAUAAAACUGUACCAGAAGUACUUAGUGAAUCGAACUUUCGUUGUACUGUCUGCCCACUUGCUAAUCAGCAUGUAUUACCUUUUCAUAUUAGUACACAUGUAUCCAGCAGUAUCUUUGAAC